rnacentral:rRNA from 1 species
UACGUAGGGUGCGAGCGUUAAUCGGAAUUACUGGGCGUAAAGCGUGCGCAGGCGGUCGUCCAAGUCGCGUGUGAAAGCCCCGGCUCAACUGGGAGGGUCACGCGAUACUGGUCGACUCGAAGGCAGGAGAGGGUAGUGGAAUUCCCGGUGUAGUGGUGAAAUGCGUAGAUAUCGGGAGGAACACCAGUGGCGAAGGCGACUACCUGGCCUGUUCUUGACGCUGAGGCGCGAAAGCUAGGGGAGCAAACGGG